AGAGUUCUGUUUUGAUUGAGCGAUGGAAAUUUAACGCAACCUCAUGGUUGCCCCGUCAACACCCUGGCUACUACUUCGCCCACCCGAUCAUGCCACGAAAGUUGUUUCCCAGAACGUUCCUAUCUGCAGUGGACUUCCCUGGAACUCAGCAACAAUUCGAGCAACUUCUGGAGGGUUGGCCGUGCUCUCCACCAACAGAAUUACCAAUCGCAUCGGACCCAAAUUGCCAAUCGAUGUUGUUGUCUUGAUUCCAGUAUCAGUUCUGAAUCAUUUGCUUAAAUUAAGACUCACUUGUGGUUCCCAUAAUAGCAGAGAUAUUACCCAAACCUUGGGGACAUAUACAUUACAUAGAUGCG
rnacentral:lncRNA from 1 species